rnacentral:rRNA from 1 species
GUGGGGAAUAUUGGACAAUGGGCGAAAGCCUGAUCCAGCCAUGCCGCGUGUGUGAAGAAGGUCUUCGGAUUGUAAAGCACUUUAAGUUGGGAGGAAGGGCAGUAAGUUAAUACCUUGCUGUUUUGACGUUACCGACAGAAUAAGCACCGGCUAACUUCGUGCCAGCAGCCGCGGUAAUACGAAGGGUGCAAGCGUUAAUCGGAAUUACUGGGCGUACAGCGCGCGUAGGUGGUUUUGUAAGUUGGAGGUGAAAUCCCCGGGCUCAACCUGGGAACUGCCUCCAAAACUGCAUGACUAGAGUACGGUAGAGGGUAGUGGAAUUUCCUGUGUAGCGGUGAAAUGCGUAGAUAUAGGAAGGAACACCAGUGGCGAAGGCGACUACCUGGACUGAUACUGACACUGAGGUGCGAAAGCGUGGGGAGCAAACAGGAUUAGAAACCCGUGUAGUCC